rfam:Anaerolineae bacterium CG2_30_64_16 cg2_3.0_scaffold_4647_c, whole genome shotgun sequence.
GUUGGUGACAUUAGCGAAGGGGGUACACCCAGUCCCAUCCCGAACCUGGCAGUUAAGCCCUUCUGCGCCGAUGGUAGUUGGGGCGCAAGCCUCUGCGAGAGUAGGUCAUUGCCAACG